rnacentral:rRNA from 1 species
UACGAAGGGUGCAAGCGUUUAAUCGGAAUACUGGGCGUAAAGCGUGCGCAGGCGGUUUUGUAAGUCUGUCGUGAAAGCCCCGGGCUCAACCUGGGAAUUGCGAUGGAGACUGCAAGGCUUGAAUCUGGCAGAGGGGGGUAGAAUUCCACGUGUAGCAGGUGAAAUCGCGUAGAGAUGUGGAGGAACACCGAUGGCGAAGGCAGCCCCCUGGGUCAAGAUUGACGCUCAUGCACGAAAGCGUGGGGAGCAAACAGG